rnacentral:rRNA from 1 species
UACGUAGGGCGCAAGCGUUAUCCGGAAUUAUUGGGCGUAAAGAGCUCGUAGGCGGUUUGUCGCGUCUGCCGUGAAAGUCCGGGGCUCAACUCCGGAUCUGCGGUGGGUACGGGCAGACUAGAGUGAUGUAGGGGAGACUGGAAUUCCAGGUGUAGCGGUGAAAUGCGUAGAUAUCUGGAGGAACACCGGUGGCGAAGGCGGCAUCCUGGACCGGUAUUGACGCUGAGGCGCGAAAGCCAGGGGAGCAAAGCGGG